UGGGGAAUAUUGCACAAUGGAGGAAACUCUGAUGCAGCGACGCCGCGUGAAUGAUGAAGGCCUUCGGGUUGUAAAGUUCUGUCCUUGGGGAAGAUAAUGACGGUACCCAAGGAGGAAGCCCCGGCUAACUACGUGCCAGCAGCCGCGGUAAUACGUAGGGGGCGAGCGUUGUCCGGAAUUAUUGGGCGUAAAGGGUUCGCAGGCGGUCUGAUAAGUCAGAUGUGAAAGGCGUAGGCUCAACCUACGUAAGCAUUUGAAACUGUCAGACUUGAGUUAAGGAGAGGAAAGUGGAAUUCCUAGUGUAGCGGUGAAAUGCGUAGAUAUUAGGAGGAAUACCAGUGGCGAAGGCGACUUUCUGGACUUAUACUGACGCUGAGGAACGAAAGCGUGGGGAGCAAAC
rnacentral:rRNA from 1 species